GCUCCGGUGGUGUAGACCGGCCAAUCAUUCGAGCUUCUCGAGCUUGAGACCUGGGUUCAAAUCCCAGCCGGAGCA
rnacentral:tRNA from 2 species